ensembl:miRNA
GAGGUGGGAGGAUCGCUUAACCCCAGGAAGUUGAGGCUGUAGUGAGCUGUGAUCAUGCCACUGCACUCCAGCCUGAGUGACAGAGUAAGACCUUGUCUC